GGCGGACGUAGUGGAAUGGUACCGCACACCUCAUGGGGAGGUGACGCUGCGAGAAUAAACCGCGGAAAAUAUCGCAGGGCUUGGUAACAAGAGUGCUGGUUCGAGUCCAGCCGACCCGCCC
rnacentral:tRNA from 1 species